rnacentral:rRNA from 1 species
UACUCCUACGGGGGGCAGCAGUGAGGAAUAUUGGUCAAUGGUCGGGAGACUGAACCAGCCAAGCCGCGUGAGGGAUGAAGGUACAGAGUAUCGUAAACCUCUUUUGUCAGGGAACAAAGGCGGGGACGUGUCCCCGGAUGAGUGUACCUGAAGAAAAAGCAUCGGCUAACUCCGUGCCAGCAGCCGCGGUAAUACGUAGGGGGCAAGCGUUAUCCGGAUUUACUGGGUGUAAAGGGAGCGUAGGCGGCCACGCAAGUCAGAAGUGAAAACCCGGGGCUCAACCCUGGGAGUGCUUUUGAAACUUG